rnacentral:rRNA from 1 species
UUUUCCUACGGGACGCAGCAGUGGGGAAUAUUGCACAAUGGGGGAAACCCUGAUGCAGCGACGCCGCGUGAGUGAAGAAGUAUCUCGGUACGUAAAGCUCUAUCAGCAGGGAAGAAAAAAAGUCUUUGGCUUUGGACGGUACCCGACUAAGAAGCCCCGGCUAACUACGUGCCAGCAGCCGCGGUAAUACGUAGGGGGCAAGCGUUAUCCGGAUUUACUGGGUGUAAAGGGAGCGUAGACGGCAGCGCAAGUCUGGAGUGAACUGCCGGGGCUCAACCCCGGAACUGCUUUUGAAACGGUGCAGG